CCUACGGGGGGCAGCAGUGAGGAAUAUUGGUCAAUGGACGAGAGUCUGAACCAGUCAAGUAGCGUGAAGGAUGACUGCCCUAUGGGUUGUAAACUUCUUUUAUAUGGGAAUAAAACGUUCCACGUGUGGGAUUUUGUAUGUACCAUAUGAAUAAGGAUCGGCUAACUCCGUGCCAGCAGCCGCGGUAAUACGGAGGAUCCGAGCGUUAUCCGGAUUUAUUGGGUUUAAAGGGAGCGUAGGUGGAUUGUUAAGUCAGUUGUGAAAGUUUGCGGCUCAACCGUAAAAUUGCAGUUGAAACUGGCAGUCUUGAGUACAGUAGAGGUGGGCGGAAUUCGUGGUGUAGCGGUGAAAUGCUUAGAUAUCACGAAGAACUCCGAUUGCGAAGGCAGUUCACUGGACUGCAACUGACACUGAGGCUCGAAAGUGUGGGUAUCAAACAGGAUUAGAUACCCUUGUAGUC
rnacentral:rRNA from 1 species